CAAUAGCGUAUAUUUAAGUUGUUGCAGUUAAAAAGCUCGUAGUUGGAUUUCGGGUGGGACGCAGCGGUCUCGCAUUGCGUUUGUACUGCUGCAGCCCUCCUUCUUGCCGGGGGCGGCCUCUCGGACUUCACUGUCUGGGGGUCAGAAUCGGCGAUGUUACUUUGAGUAAAUUAGAGUGUUCAAAGCAAGCUUACGCUCUGAAUAUAAUAGCAUGGGAUAACACGACAGGACUCUGGCCUAUCGUGUUGGUCUAUAGGACCAGAGUAAUGAUUAAGAGGGAUAGUCGGGGGCAUUCGUAUUCCGUUGUCAGAGGUGAAAUUCUUGGAUUUACGGAAGACGAACAUCUGCGAAAGCAUUUGCCAAGGAUGUUUUCAUUG
rnacentral:rRNA from 1 species